rnacentral:rRNA from 1 species
CCUACGGGAGGCAGCAGUGAGGAAUAUUGGUCAAUGGACGCAAGUCUGAACCAGCAAUGCCGCGUGAAGGAAGACGGCUCUAUGAGUUGUAAACUGCUUUUGUACGAGGGUAAACGCAGAUACGAGUAUCUGUCUGAAAGUAUCGUACGAAUAAGGCUCGGCUAACUCCGUGCCAGCAGCCGCGGUAAUACGGAGGAUUCAAGCGUUAUCCGGAUUUAUUGGGUUUAAAGGGUGCGUAGGCGGUCGGAUAAGUUAGAGGGGAAAUCCCGAGGCUCAACUUCGGAAUUGCCUCUGAUACUGUUCGGCUAGAGAGUAGUUGCGGUAGGCGGAAUGUAUGGUGUAGCGGUGAAAUGCUUAGAGAUCAUGCAGAACACCGAUUGCGAAGGCAGCUUACCAAGCUACUUCUGACGUUGAGGCACGAAAGCGUGGGGAGCAAACAGGAUUAGAUACCCGGGUAGUC